rnacentral:rRNA from 1 species
UACGAAGGGGGCUAGCGUUGCUCGGAAUCACUGGGCGUAAAGCGCACGUAGGCGGAUCUUUAAGUCAGGGGUGAAAUCCUGGAGCUCAACUCCAGAACUGCCUUUGAUACUGGAGAGCUUGAGUCCGGGAGAGGUGAGUGGAACUGCGAGUGUAGAGGUGAAAUUCGUAGAUAUUCGCAAGAACACCAGUGGCGAAGGCGGCUCACUGGCCCGGUACUGACGCUGAGGUGCGAAAGCGUGGGGAGCAAACAGG